rnacentral:rRNA from 1 species
AGAGUUUGAUCCUGGCUUAGGAUGAACGCUAGCGGCAGGCCUAAUACAUGCAAGUCGGACGGGAUCUCCCCUCGGGGGAGUGAGAGUGGCGCACGGGUGCGUAACGCGUAUGCAACCAACCCCGCACUGGGGGACAGCCGGUGGAAACGCCGGGUAAUACCCCAUGCCGACCCCUUGGGGGCAUCCCAUGGGGUCGAAAGCAGCGAUGCGGUGCGGGACGGGCAUGCGUCCCAUUAGCUAGUUGGCGGGGCAACGGCCCACCAAGGCGACGAUGGGUAGGGGAUCUGAGAGGACGGUCCCCCACACUGGUACUGAGACACGGACCAGACUCCUACGGGAGGCAGCAGUAAGGAAUAUUGGGCAAUGGGGGGAACCCUGACCCAGCCAUGCCGCGUGAAGGGGAAGUAGGCCCUACGGGUCGUGAACCUCUUUUAUGUGGGGACAACGGCGGAGUCGCGAACUCCGCGUGCGGGUACCACAUGAAUAAGCAUCGGCUAACUCCGUGCCAGCAGCAGC